AUGAAAGCCAACAUGGCGGACUUUGAGGUAACUUCGAUGUCUUCAACUUCUUCAUCUUUAACUUUAUCCAUAUGAUGGAGAGGGAUAAUACCUAAAGUUCUUACAAAAACGU